rnacentral:rRNA from 1 species
UGGGGAAUUUUGCACAAUGGGGGAAACCCUGAUGCAGCGACGCCGCGUGAUUUAGAAGGCCUUCGGGUUGUAAAAAUCUUUUCUAUGGGAAGAAAAUGACAGUACCAUAGGAAUAAGGACCGGCUAAUUACGUGCCAGCAGCCGCGGUAAUACGUAAGGUCCGAGCGUUGUCCGGAAUCAUUGGGCGUAAAGGGUACGUAGGCGGGUAAGCAAGUUAGAAGUGAAAUCCUAUAGCUCAACUAUAGUAAGCUUUUAAUACUGCUCAUCUUGGGGUAUGGAAGGGAAAGUGGAAUUCCUAGUGUAGCGGUGAAAUGCGCAGAUAUUAGGAUGAGUACCGGUGGCGAAGGCGACUUUCUGGCCAUAACCUGACGCUGAGGUACGAAAGCGUGGGUAGCAAACAGG